AUUGAACGCCGGCGGCAGGCCUAACACAUGCAAGUCGAGCGGCAGCGGGAAAGUAGCUUGCUACUUUUGCCGGCGAGCGGCGGACGGGAGAGUAAUGCCUGGGAAAUUGCCCAGUCGCGGGGGAUAACAGUUGGAAACGACUGCUAAUACCGCAUACGCCCUACGGGGCAAAGCCGGGGACCUUGGGGCCUUGCGAGAUUGGAGAUGCCCAGGGGGGAUUAGCUAGUUGGUGAGGUAAUGGCUCACCAAGGCAACGGUCCCUAGCUGGUCUGGGAGGGUGAUCGGCCACACUGGAACUGAGACACGGUCCAGACUCCUACGGGAGGCAGCAGUGGGGAAUAUUGCGCAAUGGGGGAAACACUGAUGGAGCCAUGCCGCGUGGGUGAAGAAGGCAAUCGGGUUGUAAAGCACUUUCAGCGAGGAGGAAAGGUUGUGGGCUAAUACGUAUCAACUGUGACGGCACUCGCAGAGGAAGCACCGGCUAACUCCGUGCCAGCCGCCGCCGUAAUAC
rnacentral:rRNA from 1 species